GCCAGCCGUGGUAGUGCAUGCCUGUAGUCCCAGCUACUCGGGAGGCUGAGGCUGGAGGAUUGCUUGAGUCCAGGAGUUCUGGGCCGUAGUGCGCUAUGCCAAUUGGAUGUCUGCACUAAGUUUGGCAUCAAUAUGGUGACCUCCUGGGAGCGGGGGACCACCAGGUUGCCUAAGGAGGGGCGAACCAGCCCAGGUUGGAAAUAGAGCAGGUCAGAACUCCCGUGCUGAUCAGUAGUGGGAUCGUGCCUGUGAAUAGCCACUGCACUCCAGCCGGGACAACUCAGCAAGACCUCGUCUCU
ensembl:misc_RNA Metazoa_SRP Metazoan signal recognition particle RNA